rnacentral:rRNA from 1 species
UACAGAGGUCUCAACCGUUGUUCGGAUUCAUUGGGCGUAAAGGGUGCGUAGGCGGCGGGGCAAGUCAAGGUGUGAAAUCUCGGGGCUCAACCCCGAAACUGCACUUGAUACUGCCUUGCUCGAGUACUGGAGAGGAGACUGGAAUUUACGGUGUAGCAGUGAAAUGCGUAGAUAUCGUAAGGAAGACCAGUGGCGAAGGCGAGUCUCUGGACAGUUACUGACGCUGAGGCACGAAGGCCAGGGGAGCAAACGGGA